GAUGAAGAACGCAGCGAAAUGCGAUACGUAGUGUGAAUUGCAGAAUUCAGUGAAUCAUCGAAUCUUUGAACGCACAUGCACCUCUCGGUAUUCCGGGAGGUAUGCCUGUUCGAGCGUCAUUUGUACCCUCAAGCUCUGCUUGGUGUUGGGUGUUUGUUCCGCCUCUGUGUGUGAACUCGCCUCAAAACAAUUGGCAGCCGGCGUACUUGUUUCGGAGCGCAGCACAUUUUGCGAUCCAGAUCAACGUACAGCGGCAUCCAAGAAGCCUUAUUUAACGCUCUUGACCUCGGAUCAGGUAGGGAUACCCGCUGAACUUAAGCAUAUCAAUAAGCGGAGGA
rnacentral:misc_RNA from 1 species